rnacentral:rRNA from 1 species
CUCAUUAAAUCAGUUAUAGUUUAUUUGAUGGUCUCUUUUGUCUUUUUUUACCUACUUGGAUAACCGUGGUAAUUCUAGAGCUAAUACAUGCGCAAGGUCCCGAGCGCGGGGGGCAGGGCUUCACGGCCCUGUCCUCGCAUGCGCAGAGGGAUGUAUUUAUUAGGUUAAACAACCAGCAUUUUUUCAUUUCUGGUGAUUCAUAGUAACUCUUUCGGAUCGCAUUCAUG